UGCUGUGAAGACCUAGCUAGGUCUGAAGAGUGAUGAGGGGCCAAAGCUCGGAGC
rnacentral:ncRNA from 15 species